rnacentral:rRNA from 1 species
GACGAACGCUGGCGGCGUGCCUAAUACAUGCAAGUAGGACGCAGUUGCGAACGGGUGAGUAACGCGUAGGUAACUGCUUAUGAGAGGGGGAUAACUAUUGGAAACGAUAGCUAAUACCGCAUACUAAUAGAUGGACCUGCGUUGUAUUGUCUAGUAGGUAGGGUAAUGGCCUACCUAGGCAACGAUACAUAGCCGCCCCUGGAGGGUGAUCGGCCAACCUGGGCCUGAGAGUAGGCCCAGACUCCGUCGGGAGGCAGCAGUAGGGAAUCUUCGGCAAUGGGGGGAACCCUGACCGAGCAACGCCGCGUGAGUGAAGAAGGUUUUCGGAUCGUAAAGCUCUGUUGUUAAGGAAGCGGUACUUAACCAGAAAGGGACGGCUAACUACGUGCCAGCAGCCGCGGUAAUUC